UGUGCACAGGUGCACAAAGAGCCACCUGUCAGCCCAAGGGUCUGUGGAAUCGCCCCAAACUGCAGUGAAAUGGGAGAGAUCAUGGGAGGGGGAGAUGUUCCUCUUACCUCUGCCUCAUCUUCUAGCCCCCAAGACUGGGAGCCCAAGACUGGUCUAAAUCCUGGCUGUACCAUCAAUCAGCAAGACCUCGAACAAGACCCCUAAUCUCUCUGAGCCUGACUUUUCUCAUCUCUAGAACAGGAGCAGUAAUAAAACACAGAGUAAUUGGAGAACAACACGGGCCGAAUCAGGUAAGGGCCUGGCACCAUGACACGAUGGCUGUACCCAAAGGCACCGCUACAUUCAUCAUCUCUAGGCCCCUCUGAGAAGCACCUCGGGGGUGCUCACCUCAGGGGGAACAGUCGGAACCAGCGGCCCAGAGCCCCUGCUCAGCCCUCAGCACCACCCGAGUGCGGACAAAGAAGGGACAGAAGCCCAGCUAGACCCAGCUUGCUUCCAGCUCCACUUCAUUCCCGAUCUCCCAUGGGGACACCCAACCUGGGAUGCACCCCUGGCCUCCUGCCUGCCUGGCUUGAUCAGCCCACCAUGUUCCUCUCCAUCCAAGGUGUGAGUGAAGUCCAGGCCAGAGUGGCCCAAGGCCUGGGCCUCCCUGAGGACAUCUCCACAAAAGCCUGGUCAACCCAGGCCAGCUAGGAUUCGGGCCCCAGGCCCUAUUUAUUUAGACUCUGGUGCUGUGGUGCAGAGUCACCGGGACCUGUCCCUGGAGUUGUUCUGGAAGAGAGGGACAUGGGCUGAGAGCCAGGGACGCUGCACACAUGGAGACCCAAGCAACUGUGCAUUAGCUCCAGGAGUGAGCUAGCCUGCGGGACAGUCGUCAGCUCGCUCCGGCAGCCCAUGGAAGUCUGUCUGCCUGGAGGAGGAAGCAUGACCCUCAAGCUGAGUUUGAAGGAGAAAGAGGCCAGAUAAAGAUGCCCGGCAUUGGGAAGUGGAGGGGCCAACCAGAGGCAGGUGUGUGGCAGGAAGAAGGACAAGGCGGGGCUGCAGAAAUGGAUGGGCACCGCCCCCCUUGGCCUGGCGAGUGAUGACAAGGGGGUAGGACUGCAUCUCAGAAGUCACAAGGAAUAGACAGAGGUGAAUAAGGAGGGGAGGGACUGCCCGGGAGAGGGUCCCUGGCAUUGGCAUUCUCCCUGAGAAGCAAGAGAAGAAAGAGGGGGGCCUCUAGGAGCUACUCACUCCCUUGUGGCCUGGCCCAUCUGCCUCUGAAGGCUGAGGAAACUUCUGAUCUCUGCCCACCCCCCACCCCCAAACACAC
rnacentral:lncRNA from 1 species